GCUAGGUGUGGUGGCACUCACCUACAGCCCCCAGCUACUCAGGAGGCUGAAGUAGGAGGAUCACUAGAUCCCAGGAGUUCUGGGCUGGGCUUGGUGCGCUAUGCCAGUUGGGUGUCUGCACCAAGUUUGGCAUCAAUAUGGGGAUCUCCCUGAAGCAGGAAACCACAAGGUUGCCUAAGGAGGGGUGAAUGCAGCCCAGGUCAGAAAUGGAACAGGCCAAAACUCCCAGGCUGAUCAGUAAUGGGAUCCUGCCUGUGAAUAAACAGUGCACUGCAGCCUGGGAGACAGAGUGAGAACCUGUGUGU
ensembl:misc_RNA Metazoa_SRP Metazoan signal recognition particle RNA